rnacentral:rRNA from 1 species
UACGUAGGGCGCAAGCGUUAUCCGGAAUUAUUGGGCGUAAAGAGCUCGUAGGCGGUUUGUCGCGUCUGCCGUGAAAGUCCGGGGCUCAACUCCGGAUCUGCGGUGGGUACGGGCAGACUAGAGUGAUGUAGGGGAGACUGGAAUUCCUGGUGUAGCGGUGAAAUGCGUAGAUAUCAGGAGGAAUACCGGUGGCGAAAGCGACUCUCUGGACGGCAACUGACGCUGAGGCACGAAAGCGUGGGGAGCAAACAGG